AUGCUCACUUUGGCAGUACAUACAUUAAAAUUGGAAUGAUACAGAGAAGAUGAGCAUGCCCAAGGAUGACACUCAAAUUCAUGAAGCAUUAAAAAAGACU
rnacentral:snRNA from 1 species